rnacentral:rRNA from 1 species
ACGAACGCUGGCGGCGUGCCUAAUACAUGCAAGUCGAACGGUCUUUCUAUGGAAGCUUGCUUCCACUGAGAAGAUAGUGGCGAAACGGGGUGAGUAACACGUGGGGUAACCUGGCCCAUAAGAGGGGGAUAACAUCCGGAAACGGGUGCUAAUACCGCAUAGUUUCUUGAUUGCAUGAUUGAGAAAGGAAAGACGGCCUUUGUGCUGUCGCUUAUGGAUGGACCCGCGGCGUAUUAGUUAGUUGGUGAGGUAACGGCUCACCAAGACGAUGAUACGUAGCCGACCUGAGAGGGUGAUCGGCCACAUUGGGACUGAGACACGGCCCAAACUCCUACGGGAGGCAGCAGUAGGGAAUCUUCCGCAAUGGACGAAAGUCUGACGGAGCAACGCCGCGUGAGUGAAGAAAGGUUUUCGGAUCGUAAAACUCUGUUGUCAGAGAAGAACAAGUUGGAGAGUAACUGCUCCAGCCUUGACGGUAUCUGACCAGAAAGCCACGGCUAACUACGUGCCAGCCGCCGC